UGAAUUGAUACGAAUUUUUCAUUUAAUAUUUACGCGUUUCCGUUAUUUAAUAAAAGACGGGAAUUGUGAUUGUGAUUCUUAUAAUUUCUACUUGUGUUUUGUCUCCUACCUACUUGAUUAUAAAUAUGAAACGGAUAGCCCCACUCAAUCGUUAGUCCUUAUAUUAUUAGCCUACUUGCCUUUUUACCUACUUGCGAUUUAUAACACAUAAUGAACAUCAUAAAAAUGACGAACAAGAGACGAGUGUAAAAAAGUCAAGACCAAGGGAGAAUAAACGACAAACAAUUAAUGUUCAUGGUAGACCAUAUGUUACAAGACCAUGUCGCAACUGGCAAAUUUCAAACUAUAAAUGGAAAAAAAUUACCUCUAAGUAUCGUGGGAUGAGUUAUACACCUCAACGAUUUUCGGAAUACUGGUGUAAAAGAAAAAAAUAUAAAAUCCUGGAAAGAGCUAUGAAUUAUGUUCUGCCACAGUCUAUUGAUCCUAUGAAAUCAACCAAUUUAGAUGAUACUAAUUGUUCAGUUAUAAACAGCCAAGUUAAGUUGCCAUAAUCUAUUGGUCCCAUGAAAUCAACCCACUCAGAUGAUACUUGUUCAUUUAUACACAGUCGAGUUGAGCUUGUAUCUACAAUAAAUCAUUCCUCAUCAAUUAGUGUUGCUCCUAUACCUUUUGUGUCGACGACCAAUCUUAACGACCUUGAUGGAAUACAACCACUUGAUUCAAUAACACCUGAAGAUCCUGGUUCUACUCAAAAAAAGUAUACUCUUCCAAGGAGAAAAUGAAAAGGCUAUCUAAAAGAAAUCAAUUUUACUCAGCAAAAAUACAUGAUACCAAAAAAACAAUUUCUAUACAAGGCAGUAGUGGAUCUGAAAAAAACGUUAUCCAUUGUAAAUAAGCAACAUUCAAUAACUGAACAUAAGGGUUCAGUUGCGCCCUAGGUUAGGUUAGAAAGUCUAGCUUUUACUCUCUGAAUGGUCAAUUUAUAGGUGGCAACAAAAAAUUAGAAAAGGAAGCUUCAGACACUGCAAAACUCUGUCUAUUUGUGAAUUAAAUUAUUUGACAGUGUUUAUAAUAGUUCCAAUUAUUCAGCCUGGGAAGGAAUUUGCGCAAUGCUGUGACGUCCACAUCAAUCCAUUGGAAAUUCUGGAAGGAAGCUCUAUUGGUUUUAGAGAGUAUGAAUUUUGGAACCAGUAAAGUUCCAACCAUAAAAACCUAGAUAUCCACAAUAAUGUUUCCAAUAUUUAUUUAAAAAAACUUAAAUAAUGGUUUUAAAUUUAUACCUGCGCUUAAAUUGCGCUCCUUUAAUCAAGACCCAGGGGAAAUAUUUUCUGUUAAGCCCGCAGUCAUGGUUUACAAAAUACAAUCCCAACUUUUUCCAUUUUCAAAAUUCAUUUAAAUCACUUGUUAUCAAUAAUUUGAUUUCUUCUCAAUCUGUUGAUGCAAACUUUCAAAAAUAUAAUUGUGAUAAUUUAAUGUGAAAAGUACUUGACACCUUAAUUAUGACAAGGAGGCGAAAAUUAUAUUCUUUUGCAUAUUUUUUUAUACAGUCACACGGGGGUUUGAAAAUCUUUACAAAUCACGAAACAUGUAAAUGAAUGGCAAAAGUUGUUUUUGCAUAUUUGAGAAUAUUUCAAAAUAAAAGAAUAUUUUGUAUAAUAAAGAAUAUUAGAGAAUAUAUCGAUUAAUUAUAUAGAUUUUUAUAUUUUGUGUUGCAGUGGUGUAAAUAAUAUAAAUGAUAUGCCCGAUAAUAGUGAUAUAUAUUCGUGUUGUAUAUUUAUGUACCAAUGUGUAUACGUUAAUUGUUAUUUAUAAGUUAUAAACCUAUAACCCAUAUAGUAAUUUUUUAGUUGAUUUAUAGUACAUAACAAUGAAAAAUUGUGUUAAAAAUACGUCAUUUAUUUAAUUUAA